UACAGAGGGGGCAAGCGUUAUUCGGAAUUAUUGGGCGUAAAGGGCGCGUAGGCGGCCUGACAAGUGGAAGGUGAAAUCCCUCGGCUUAACCGAGGAACUGCCCUCCAAACUGUUUGGCUUGAGUCCGGGAGAGGUGAGUGGAAUUCCCAGUGUAGCGGUGAAAUGCGUAGAUAUUGGGAGGAACACCAGUGGCGAAGGCGGCUCACUGGACCGGAACUGACGCUGAUGCGCGAAAGCUAGGGGAGCGAACGGG
rnacentral:rRNA from 1 species